UUCAGAUCUAAAACUCAAAAGUCGAGAGUCAAGCCCUAUUUUUCAAUUUUGCAUCUUAUUCUCCAGCACACAACGCCGCAGCCACCACAGACCACACCAGCCAGCCCCAUCUCCAAUCUCCAUCAGCCAUCAAAGCCUCCUUCCUCUACCCCUGCUUCUUCUCUCUGCCUCACCAGCCAGCCCCAUCUCUAAAUAAACAUGGAUGGACUUCAAAUAAAUCUUGAAUCAAGUAGCUUUGAAAUGCCUAUUAAUUUAGAAGAUGUUGCAAGUCCUAUGGAGGGAGUCACAAGUGGGCAUAAAGUGAAACGCAAGAGAAAACUCACUUCAAAGGUUUGGUCUUACUUUGAUGUGCUUCCUUUGGAUGUUGAUGGUAAGCAAAAAUGUAAAUGUAAAGAUUGUGGUACCAUUUAUCUUUGUGAUAGUAAAUAUGGAACGGGAAAUUUGGUGCGUCA